UACAGAGGGGGCAAGCGUUGUUCGGAAUUACUGGGCGUAAAGGGCGCGUAGGCGGCCUGUUAAGUCGAACGUGAAAUCCCCGGGCUCAACCCGGGAACUGCGUCCGAUACUGGCAGGCUUGAAUUCGGGAGAGGGAUGCGGAAUUCCAGGUGUAGAGGUGAAAUUCGUAGAUAUCAGGAGGAACACCAGUGGCGAAGGCGGCUUUCUGGACGGUAACUGACGCUGAGACGCGAAAGCGUGGGGAGCAAACAGG
rnacentral:rRNA from 1 species